GGCGCACGGGUGCGUAACGCGUAUGCAAUCUACCUUUUACAGAGGGAUAGCCCAGAGAAAUUUGGAUUAAUACCUCAUAGUAUAAUGACUCGGCAUCGAGAUAUUAUUAAAGUCACAACGGUAAAAGAUGAGCAUGCGUCCCAUUAGCUAGUUGGUAAGGUAACGGCUUACCAAGGCUACGAUGGGUAGGGGUCCUGAGAGGGAGAUCCCCCACACUGGUACUGAGACACGGACCAGACUCCUACGGGAGGCAGCAGUGAGGAAUAUUGGACAAUGGGCGCAAGCCUGAUCCAGCCAUGCCGCGUGCAGGAUGACGGUCCUAUGGAUUGUAAACUGCUUUUAUACGAGAAGAAACACUACUUCGUGAAGUAGCUUGACGGUAUCGUAAGAAUAAGGAUCGGCUAACUCCGUGCCAGCAGCCGCGGUAAUACGGAGGAUCCAAGCGUUAUCCGGAAUCAUUGGGUUUAAAGGGUCCGUAGGCGGUUUAAUAAGUCAGUGGUGAAAGCCCAUCGCUCAACGGUGGAACGGCCAUUGAUUACUGUUAAACUUGAAUUAUUAGGAAGUAACUAGAAUAUGUAGUGUAGCGGUGAAAUGCUUAGAGAUUACAUGGAAUACCAAUUGCGAAGGCAGGUUACUACUAAUUGAUUGACGCUGAUGGACGAAAGCGUGGGUAGCGAACAGGAUUAGAUACCCUGGUAGUCCACGCCGUAAACGAUGGAUACUAGCUGUUGGAAGCAAUUUCAGUGGCUAAGCGAAAGUGAUAAGUAUCCCACCUGGGGAGUACGUUCGCAAGAAUGAAACUCAAAGGAAUUGACGGGGGCCCGCACAAGCGGUGGAGCAUGUGGUUUAAUUCGAUGAUACGCGAGGAACCUUACCAAGGCUUAAAUGUAGAUUGACCGGUUUGGAAACAGAUCUUUCGCAAGACAAUUUACAAGGUGCUGCAUGGUUGUCGUCAGCUCGUGCCGUGAGGUGUCAGGUUAAGUCCUAUAACGAGCGCAACCCCUGUUGUUAGUUGCCAGCGAGUCAUGUCGGGAACUCUAACAAGACUGCCAGUGCAAACUGUGAGGAAGGUGGGGAUGACGUCAAAUCAUCACGGCCCUUACGCCUUGGGC
rnacentral:rRNA from 1 species